UGUAUUCACUACAUGCUAAGUUUAACGCUUUCAUUUAAUACAUUGAGAAAACUUCCAAAUUCUUUUGUGGUGUAGCUGCAGUGACUAUAUACAUAGAAUAAUGAACAAAGCAAUGCAGUUGUCAUGGAUUAGUUUGCAUAACUGUCCAUCGGGGUACUCUUCACUCUAUAGUUUUAUUGUGUAUAAUUACAAUACUGAUUUCAGUUCUGAAAGGGAAAAUUUAAAAAAAAGUACAGUAUCUUGAUAACGAUUGGCUACACGAGUAACAUUUACACUCUGUUUUAUCGACGCCACGAGAAAAAACGUGAGAUUCGUGCGGACGGCAAAAUGUUCAGAGCACUGGAUCUUUGAAAAAUUAUUUUAUUAUAUUUACCUAAUGUGUUUUCAUAUUUGGAUUGAUUAGGUAAAAUAAUUAUCCUACCGGAACCUGCCUUCAAGAUUCAUCUGUUUGCAAGUGUUAGGAAAAGGGUGAAAGUAUGUCUUCCAAGACUAGUGACAUAUGGCAACAUUUUGAAGACCAAGGAAAUACGGCCAAAUGUCGCUAUUGUUCCAAGGCGAUUUCAUUUUCCAACAAAUCUAGUUCGAAUCUGAAGCGACAUAUGAGAUCUAUGCACCAUACUAUUCCGAUUGAGAGAAAUGCUCCUACAGCUACUACUUCUUCAAUACAAUUGACAGAUAACGACGAAACUACGUUGCCUGCUGCAGGCCCGUCAAAAAAACAGGGGGAUCUUUUACGUUUCUUUGACGCAAAUAAGCCGCUAACUAUUGCUCAAAAAAGAUAGCUCGAAC